CAGCAGCCGCGGUAACACCAGCUCUUCAAGUGAUCGGGACUAUUAUUGGGCUUAAAGUGUCCGUAGCCGGUUUGGUAAGUCCCUGGUUAAAGCUGGCAGCUUAACUGUCAGUUCGCUAGGGAAACUACCUUACUAGAGGGCGGGAAAGGUGUGAGGUACUCCAGGGGUAGCGGUGAAAUGCGAUAAUCCUUGGGGGACCACCAGUGGCGAAGGCGUCAGACUGGAACGCGCCUGACGGUGAGGGACGAAAGCCAGGGGAGCGAACGGGAUUAGAUACCCCGGUAGUCCUGGCUGUAAACGAUGCGCGCUAGGUGUUGGUAGGGCUAUGAGCUAUAUCAGUGCCGUAGAGAAAUCGUUAAGCGUGCCGCCUGGGAAGUACGCUCGCAAGAGUGAAACUUAAAGGAAUUGGCGGGGGAGCACCACAAGGGGUGAAGCCUGCGGUUCAAUUGGACUCAACGCCGGGAAACUUACCGGGGGCGACAGCAGAAUGAAGGUCAGGCUGACGACCUUACCAGACAAGCUGAGAGGAGGUGCAUGGCC
rnacentral:rRNA from 1 species